GGUUAAGCGACUAAGCGUACACGGUGGAUGCCCUGGCAGUCAGAGGCGAUGAAGGACGUGCUAAUCUGCGAUAAGCGUCGGUAAGGUGAUAUGAACCGUUAUAACCGGCGAUUUCCGAAUGGG
rnacentral:rRNA from 1 species